rnacentral:rRNA from 1 species
GAACUGAAGAGUUUGAUCAUGGCUCAGAUUGAACGCUGGCGGCAGGCCUAACACAUGCAAGUCGAGCGCGAAAACACUUCGGUGUGAGUAGAGCGGCGGACGGGUGAGUAAUGCUUGGGAAUCUGCCCAGUAGUGGGGGAUAACGUGUGGAAACGCACGCUAAUACCGCAUACGUCCUACGGGAGAAAGCAGGGGAUCUUCGGACCUUGCGCUAUUGGAUGAGCCCAAGUCAGAUUAGCUAGUUGGUGGGGUAAUGGCUCACCAAGGCGACGAUCUGUAGCUGGUCUGAGAGGAUGAUCAGCCACACUGGGACUGAGACACGGCCCAGACUCCUACGGGAGGCAGCAGUGGGGAAUAUUGCACAAUGGGCGAAAGCCUGAUGCAGCCAUGCCGCGUGUGUGAAGAAGGCUCUAGG